AACGAACGCUGGCGGCAGGCUUAACACAUGCAAGUCGAACACCCCGCAAGGGGAGUGGCAGACGGGUGAGUAACGCGUGGGAAUCUACCCAGAUCUUCGGAACAACUGAGGGAAACUUCAGCUAAUACCGGAUACGCCCUACGGGGGAAAGAUUUAUCGGUUCUGGAUGAGCCCGCGUUGGAUUAGCUAGUUGGUGAGGUAACGGCUCACCAAGGCGACGAUCCAUAGCUGGUCUGAGAGGAUGAUCAGCCACACUGGGACUGAGACACGGCCCAGACUCCUACGUGAGGCAGCAGUGGGGAAUAUUGGACAAUGGGCGAAAGCCUGAUCCAGCCAUGCCGCGUGAGUGAUGAAGGCCUUAGGGUUGUAAAGCUCUUUCAGUAGGGAAGAUAAUGACGGUACCUACAGAAGAAGCCCCGGCUAACUUCGUGCCAGCCGCCGCCGUAACAC
rnacentral:rRNA from 1 species